GUCUACAGCAAUACCACCCUGAACACGCCCAAUCUCAUCUGAUCUCGGAAGCCAAGCAGGGUCAGACCUGGUUAGUACUUGGAUGGGAGUAAUGUGAGCAAGUGAAUGAAUGGAUUCUGUUACAU
rfam:Fukomys damarensis contig122834, whole genome shotgun sequence.